rnacentral:lncRNA from 1 species
UGCCACUAUAUAACAUAGUUAUAACCCGAAGGUAUCAAGUCAUUAAUAGACUUGUAUACAGAUAUAAUCUGUAGAUAAUUUAUUAAAAGGGUGACAUGUAUGUUAACAGGGAGUUGAAUCUUUUCAACCAGGUUUUACCAUCAGGGCCAGGCCUGUUAAUAAGGCAUUCAGGCUAGGUUAUACCUUACUAAGAUUCUUAUAAAAUGGCAAAUCAAAUAAAAAUUGAUAUUCUCCAUUAUUUUAAUAUUAUUCAUGCAUACAAAUAAAAUGAUAAAUUCAAUUAACCAUUUAAAUUUCCAAUAAAAUACCAGUACAUAAUUGCCCUAAACGGGACUUUGAAAUAACAUAACUAGCAUGAAUAACAUGCCCGCGCAGGGGCUAAACAAGUACAACAAUAACAAAAUAAAAUAAAACAAACCCACGCAGGGGUUAACAGGAUAACAUACCCACACAGGGGUAGAGAAAGAUAGAUAUACCCACGCAGGGGUAGAGUACUGGAAUAAAUGUCCACGCAGGGACAUGAGUACAUGAAAUGAUAAUCGAAGGAUUCAACGAUCCUUCUUGCUCUUACCCUUGAGCAAAUCAAAUAC